AACGAACGCUGGCGGCACGUUUUAAGCAUGCAAGUCGAAUGGCAGCAGGGGCAACUCUGUGAGAAUGGCGAACGGGUGAGUAACACGUAGGUGAUCUGCCUUGAGGAUGGGGAUAGCCUGUGGAGACACAGGGUAAUACCGAAUAAGCUGACGGGACUUUGGUUUUGUUAGUAAAGGUGCUACGGCACCGCCUUGAGAGGAGCCUGCGGCUGAUUAGCUAGUUGGUGGGGUAAAGGCCUACCAAGGCGACGAUCAGUAGCCGGCCUGAGAGGGUGUACGGCCACACUGGGACUGAGACACGGCCCAGACUCCUACGGGAGGCAGCAGCUAAGAAUCUUCCGCAAUGGGCGAAAGCCUGACGGAGCGAUGCCGCGUGAUCGAUGAAGGUCGAGAGAUUGUAAAGAUCUUUUCUACAUGAGGAAUAAGUCUGGGAGGGAAUGCCUGGAUGAUGACGUUAGUGUAGGAAUAAGCCCCGGCUAAUUACGUGCCAGCCGCCGCAGUAA
rnacentral:rRNA from 1 species